AAAUAAAGAAAUAUCCUGAUGUUUUAAUCAGUCAAUAUUUGACUGAUUCUUAUGUAGUUCAAAUGCGGCAGAAAUGGAUAUAGUGUUCCCACAGUGGUGUCCAUUGGAGCUAUAGAUGUCCCAUUGUUGCCAGACAGCUUCCCACUUUAUAAAUAUAACCUAAGAGUUAGAACUCUAUGAAAGCAGAAAUGACUUGUGCUGACACACAAGAGAUCAUGGCCAGCGGCAUGCACAGUUCAUUAGAGAAGGGAAGACUAAUGCACUGACUGCCAGAUGUACAGCUGAUCUGUCAUUAAACAGAGAGAUUCUGACUUAGUUGUUAGCAGUCUCUCAGGCUUUUCAAAACAUUAUAUAUUCUGUGCAACAAAUACUGGAGUAGGGAACUGAUCUAUUUUAGAAUACUUUUAACUUAUUGUAGUCAUCAUUUUCUUUCUUUACUGUAUGAGCUCUCACUGCAUUUAUUUAGAUCUUCCCUGGUUAUGAAGAUAAAAUGUAUGAGAUUUUAAAAAAACAACACUUUCCCCUCAAUAUUUAAUCCUCUCAAUUUUGCUUCUUAAUCAGCUAAUGAGGGCAAAAGACUCACCCUCCCAGCUGAAUGUGUUGCUGCACUCAACCUCUUCUGGCUUACAGUAUUAGAUUAAUUCUUUAUCACUCCCGGGAUUGCUCAUUGCACAGUUCUGGGCCAUUAGAGAAUAGUCUUAUAUUUAAAAUCAACAUUCUGUAGAUGUUACUCAGAGGUUUAAUGUAGUUAAGACCUUAAUGCCUAGUUUGGAAAAGACAUUUAAUGAUAUUGAAGAAAUGGUGCAAAGCAGAGAAAUUUAUGGCCAUUUCUGCAGAUAUUAAAGAAUUAAGAUGUUGAGAAACUGAUAUGGCCACCUGGACAGACCUCUCCUGUGGAGAAAUAUGAAAUUCAUAGAGGCGUACUUUGUGAUCUGGAGGUGGAAGGAAUUGUACAUUUCUUGAAAAUUGCAUCAUGAAUACAUGUCUUUCCCUUUUAAAUUGGCCUGUAGCCAGUCUAAUAUUUGGGAAACCGAGUCAGGUGGAGCUUUACAUUUUUUUUGUGGGCUACGUAACUCUUUUUGGCACAUAUAGCUCAGUAUUUUGAAGAUGACAAUAAAUUACGAAUACAUAUUCCAAGUCUCAUAGGUUUUGUGCUAGCCAGAUUAGACUCAUAGGUCACUUUAUGAGCAGGCAACAAUUAUGUUUUUCAAAACUGAACUAAAACCAGAAUAUGGCCCAGGAUUUUGCACUGAUUUGUCUUUCAAGAUGUAGAAUUAUUUUCAGUGGCCAACUUACUUUAAAUGUGUUUAAGUGUUGGUAUUUUCAUUAAUACUCAUUAAGAGACUUUUCUACCAUCUAAUACAUUUUGCCUUCAGUAAGUUUUUUACUUUCUUAACUUCAUCCCAUUACUUCUAGUUAUACUCCCAUAUAUCAUACUAAAUAAUAUCUCCUCUCUCUUUCAGAUAUUUGUAGCGGUUACCAUGUUCCACCCUUGAGUCAUCUCUGACAGGCUAUGCAUAUUUAAAUCUUUCCUCAAAAAUCUAACCCUCCAGCUCCACAUUUUUGUUGCUCUUCUAUCUUGGCAAGCGAUAACUUUUGACAGACAACCUGCAUCCUUCAUCAGAAUAGUUGGAACUCACAACACAGCUAAUGAGGUGUUUCACUGUGUGCAUUUUGAGUGUCCAGCACAAAACAAUGCCCACAAGGAAGAGGGUAAUGAGGAAGUGGCGACAACAGAACUGGGCACUGGCACACAACAGAUUGUUUCUCGCCCAGUUCGAGCCUCAAGCACCAGUUCUCUGCACUCCCUCACUGGAUCCACCUCACGUACACAUGCUCACCAACCAUAAAGGAGAGUGGAACGGAGCUUUUGCAGUCUCCAUGAUGCUAUAUGAAAUUAUUCACAACCUUCUUGUACAGGCACCUUUUUUCUUGUUCUCUCAGUGAACAAAGGGGACCAUGCCUGGCAGCUGGAAAUGUUGAAAUGGAAAAGGCUUUCCAAGGACACAAAGGGGCUGCUUCACUCUCUUCAAUUUGUUCAAAUCAGGCUUUGUCUCCGGGGGGAUAAAAUAGGUCUUCAAUCUAUAUCAAGUCCCCCAUUAACACCCUACCUCUCUAAUCUAACCAAGGAAAGGAGAAUAGAAGGAAAUAAAAGGCAGAGUCACAUUGGAAUACAAAAAUGGCAUAUGAACAGUAGACUAGAAGGAAUAUAAAUUAAUUAUUUGUUACCUGAAGGCACCUAUUAGGAAAUAGAAUGUUUAUCUUUAUGGCAUCACUAUGGAAAAUAGAUUGUUUUUAUUUUUUAAAUUAUUCUUAAUCCAUAUUACUUGGUAAAUUAUAAGCUGUUUUCUAAAUCAUUUUGACUCGGUGUCCGACUUUUCCCUUAUUUCUGGCUGUAGAUACAUACAGUACAAUAGUUUAGGGAAGUAACAGACAUGUAUAUCACCUGGUAUGACAAGGAAAAAACCCUCAUGAUAAAAACAAAUCAAUUUAUGGAUGCUGUAUUUAAUUCUGACUUUACUUGAAUUGUUGAGUUACAAAAUUGUCAUUUUUUAUCUAUGUUCCAAGUUGCAAAUUCCUAGUCAAGCUUCCAACUUGACAAGCAGAUAACUGUCUGCUUAAUUUAAAGAUGAUUCUUCAAGUUUUACUUAAAUUUCUACAAAAAUUAUUGUAAUUUUUCAAAUUUGUUGUUUGUGUUUAGAAAAGCAGAAUUACAGCUGACCGUUGACAUGCUGCUGGUCAGACUCAGCAAUACAAAAAUGAGAAUUUGCAGUCAAAAUUUUUUUAAAGAAAAUAAUAGACUACAGUGUUCAACUAGGGAUUUAAAAGCCACUGAUAAGCUUUUCUCAUACUCUUCAUGGAAAAAAAUUAAUUUAACUAUUGUGGUUUGAUCUGACUCUUUAUUGGUUCUUGCUUUAGUAACUUACAUCUCAGUGUUAACUCUCCUUUGUAACUUGAUCAGAUUAUCUGCUUUUUUUCUUAUCUAGAGCAUUUUCACAUUGUGAUCAUCAGGAUUCUCUAAUCUCCAGUACAUGUGAUUUAGCAAAAGCUCCGCAUCUCACUGAGUUUGCCAGUGUGGGAAGAAGAGGUUCUGUUUUUACACACACUAUUGAUGUCAUUUGGCAAAAAUAAAUAGGAAAGAUUGAUAUUUCUCCUGAAGUACCUGACCUUUGGAGCAUCUACUGUCCAAGUUUAUCGACCUGGAAAUUUUUUUCUGUUGGUCUAACAUACCUUUGCCAGAGCAAAACAAGAUGACAAGUCAGAGUUAGUCAAGUCAAAUAUGAUUUUCCUCUGCUUGAACAUAAUGAUAUAAUGAGUUAUAUAUCAAUCUAUAACACUGCUUAACCUGAAAGAAUUUCUUUCUGAAUACCAGUUGGGCUAAAAGCAUGAAGGAACAGAUAGCAUGGUGGCUACAAAACAGCAGAGACUUGACAGAGAAGAAAAGAAACGCUUCCUCUUUCUGAUAUAUUUCCUGUAAAGUUGAAUAACUUUGGCAAUCUUAUCUUUUUUUCCUUAUCACCAGACCCAUCUUCAGUCUUUCUCAUGUUAGCCCCUGUAUUCCCUCCCCAAACCUUUUGCCCCCAUUGCCUGAAUCAAGAUGGUUGUCAUUGGAGAUGCAUGGACAUUACAUGAUACAUUUUAUUAGGUGUCAUGGCUACCCCUCACAGUGCUUAGUAGAGGUUCUCUGCAUAUAGAAUGUUUCUCAUGAGCCAUCAACUAGCACUGUCUGCUGAUUACCACGUUUGUUUAGCAACUCUUAGCAUAGUGGAAGUCAGACUAAGUAUUGGGUACAGAGCCCUUAGAUUAACUUUAAGUACAGAGGUAGAAAAUUUUAGACUAAACUUUUCUUUAAAAAGAAACAAACAAAAACCCCAUGACAAUUGUAAUCUUUGCUGGAUCUUUUGAGUUGCAUGGAGCCUGUCUUGUCUUUCUUGGGUUGAUCCUUCAGCAUCAGAGUUGGUGACAUUGGCAAGAGACUACAAAUAAAUUUACAACUAAUUUCACCAUUCUCAGACUGCAAAUAAACAAAUUACAUCAUUUUCCAGUUUUGUUAGCUCUUAUUGCCACCAUUGUAGGGAGUGUUGUAACAUAAGAAUGAAAUAGAUCUGUAUCAAUUGUCCCUCGGUUUAGACUCUCUCAGGCAAAGUGCAGGAUUUUGAAUGUAUACUUCCCAGACAUGGACAAUUAUUUUGUAGAAUACAGCUGAGCCAAAAAGAAGACUCUUUAGAAGCCAUCAGUCUACACCCCUCCUUCUGUCAUUCUCUCUGAUCUUGCCCUCUAAGGCUUCAUAGAUCAAAGACAUCUAUAUAGUCUAGAUUUCUUAUUACAUCUACUAGCCACCAGGCCUCUAUUCACCCCAGUUCUGGGACAUGAAGAAUUUAAAAGAUUAACCUAUAGCAGAGUACAUGGGAGAGAUUCUCAAAGCACAGAGCAACAGGACCUGUAGAACUUCAAAUAUCCAAGAAAAGUAUAUGUCAGCCACAGCAGAGGUAAAUUAUCAUAUCCUUCCUCACAAACAAAUAGGAAUUUUUUAACAUUAUGAUUCCCAGUCACAUCAUGCCUCUUUCACACACCUGUUAGUCACCUCUCUGACAAUUAUUUGUGCUUUGAACCUGUCUCUGAAGUAAGUCAUUAUGUCUGUGUUGGCACAGAAUUUUCAAACCUUUAUAAGCCAAAAUAACCCCAUUUUCCAUUUUGUGGUUUGAAUCUUUUAGUCUUGUAUAACAAGAAUAAUGUUAAUGCUUUGGGAGUCGUAUGUUAUUGAUCAUCUCAUUUUUGCUCAGUUUUAAAACCCCAUAAAAUCUACUUAUUGCCUGGUAUGCUCUUCUGCCAUGAACAUUCUCUUUUAAUAUAAUGUGCCAGUGAUGAUGUAGGAGGAGGGCAUCACACAGAAUUAAUUUAUAUUUUGGUAUAAAUGUCCUCAGCUUUUUCCAGUUUUUUUUUAUAUUUAGUUUUUAUAUAUAGUUAUUUUUUCUUCAUUAUGGGAUUGCUGCUUAAUUGAAUUCUGGUUAUUCAUGUAUGAUUUUUGUCAACCCUGCUCUGAGUUUUUAGCUUGUUUCCUGAUGGAAAUAACUAAAAGCAUAGUUGAGCUGCCAAGAUGUACCAUUAAAAAGUGUGUCACUUUAGGAUGAUGGGAUAUAUACAGUUACUCUGAACUUUAUAGCAUACAUGUAUGUUUUAUCUGUGACUGAGAUAAAACAGGACUGACCAGAUGUUCUCUUGUCUCCUGUCAGACUAUAAGAGUUUUGUUGAUAUAUUUCUAUGCUAAUAGCAUUCGUUUAUAUUCUCAUUAUAGAGACAUUGUUUCUAUUUAGCACUUAAAUGGACUUUGACAUUAAAAAUGAUAAACUCCACCCUCAGAUUUUCCCUAUUCUUUUUCAUUUCCUCUGUUUUCUCCCAAUGCUAGCUUCAGUUUAGACUAGCGUCAAGCUCAUGUGGUGCUCAGCAGAGUCACCUUUAAAGUUUCCUUUUUUAAUUAAGUGUCUCUUUCUUCCAAAUAUAUUAAAAACACUUUUAUUCCCAGAAAUGUCUGGCAUCAAACCAAACCAUAUUUUCAGCAAAAGUAGGCUGUAUUUGUAAAACUGAUUUCUCUGGGAAAAUGAGUUUUUGAAUUGAGCAAAAAUUGCUCAGCUCUGUGUUCCAAACCAUUGUCAAGCAACCCUACAAACAAGCUCCUGAAAGAUCAGUUUAGACUUUCUUUAAUUUAAAAAGCAACAAAAAUAUAACUUUGUCUUUCUCUAGCAAAGGAAACUAGUGUACCACUGAAAUAAGCAAGUAUUUUUAUUUUUCCAUGGAGGGACAUUUGAUAAUGCAGAGGCACAGUUUCCCAUUUCAUGAGACUUCAUUUAAGAAGUUCCUUUUGACAAUGAAGCAAUGUGGUAAAAAGCAAAGAAAAUUAAAUUUGUUUUCUUCGAGGAAUUUGAAGUGUGUACUUUUUAUUUUUAUGUUAUCUUCUGCAAAAGUGACAUGUUCAGUUUGAACUAUAACAAAACAAGUGUAUCCAAGGCCGAUGUGAGACGUUUAGCAGAGAGGUGAAAUUAGCCUUUUUCAUGUAGAGGUAACUUGGUGCUUCAGUGCUGUUGGCUUCCGCUGGAGCUCCAUUUAUUUCUCUUUCUUUAGAAAUCAAUUCUGCAGGUUUGUCCUGACUACAACUCCCACUGGAGUUCAGUGCUUAUUAGUGCUGUGUAAAAUUCUAAUGCCGUUAAUGUAUCUUCACCUUAAUGUAUUUUGAUUAUUAUAACAUUAAAUUAGAGAAUUUUCUGUAUGGUAUCUGCCUUGAUAAGAUGGUAGUUUCUUCUGAUAGAAGAAGAAGGGGAAAGGUCAUGAUUAAGGCACUACUUGACUUGUGGGAUGAUUGCCAUAUAAUUGUGGUUGAGUUGCGGACAAGACAUGGGAAAUUGCGGAAAAGUAAUAAUGGACCUGUAUUAUUUGUGGUAAUUUGGAAAACCUGCUCCCUCUAUGAUCCAGGCAUGGGAUUGACAGUGGAAGCUCCCACUGUCAGCCACCUGGCUAAUGGAUGGGGCUCCCAGUGUCAGCCGUAGGUGGGACUGAGGGAUGGGACUCCCACUGUCAGCCACUCUUCUGACGGCCGGGGCUCCUGCUGUCAGCCAUGCAUGGGGCUGAGGGCCAGGGCUCCCGCUGUCAGCGCCCAUCUGAUGGCCAGGUUCCACUGUCAGACCCGCACAUGGCUAGGCUCCUGCUGUCAGCUGCCAUACUGACAAAAUUGCAGUGGAAGCCUAAUAUUGCAGCAUCCACAAUUUCUGCAAUAUCGCAAGUUAAGUAGGGCCUUAGUCAUGAUGUUGGUAAUUCAAUACUGUAGGUAUAUGAAACUGAUUUUUCAGGAUUUCUUCAAUUGACAAAAUAUGAAGUUUUACUAUCUACAGCUCAUUUAACAAUAUUAUGCAUAGCCAGAGUCAAUGAAGAGACUAGAAGGUAAAGUUACUAGAGUUUAUUAUUGCAUUGUUAGAUAGAGCUACUAGUUCUGUUUGACCAAAAUGUAUGGUAUGCCCACCCUAGAAUAUGGAAUCAGAGACUAGACUAACUCAGUUAUUGAGCUUUUCUGGCAAAUGGGACUUUUGUAAUUAUUUUCCUUUUAGGAAGUAUUUGUUGUCUUUAUAUAAGUUUUGCAAGGUGCUCUGAUACCACUGGGGUAAAAAUACACUUUUAGGUAGAUAUAGUAGUGAUUGUGGUAGCCUUUGGGAAACAUCAAAGCCAAUAAAAACAACAAUCUUGUGCAUUCAUGAAGUCAAAUUAGCUGCGAUGGUGCAAGGACAUAUUUUAGAAAUAUUAAUUUACAGGUUCCAGAGUCUAGGGCCUGAUUACCCACUGCCUCCCAAUUGUGUAUCUUUUAAUGAUUUAUUUAAGCUACAGUCUUGAUCUUGUAGGUUAAUUGAUUGCCUGCUCAUUUGAGUUAACUAAUAGAAUUGUAAAGUGCAGUGGUGGUGUAGCCAUGGUAGUCCUGGGAUAUUAGAGAGACAAGAUGAAUGCGGUAAUAUCUUUUACUGGACCAACUUCUGUUGGUGAAAGAGACAAGUUUUUGAGCUACACAGAGCUCUACGUGAAGAAGAGUGCUGUGAAGCUCGAAAGCUUGUCUCUUUCACCAACAGAAGUUGGUCCAGUAAAAGAUAUUACCUCACCCACUUUGUCUAGACAAUUGUAAAAGUUAAUCUAGACACUCCAAAAACCUGUGUUCUAAGAGACAAAUGCUUGUUUCUGGUCCUGAUCUCUGUGUAUCCUAAAGUGGGGGGGGGGGGAUGGACACACUAGACAAGCAUUAAAAUUUUGUUAGUGAACUUAGGCUAAUAAGUAAAUUGAUGAACAUGAAUUACAACAGGAUCAGGUACUCUGGUCUAGACGAGGCCUUGCACCUGUGCAAGUGGGCAUAAAAUGCUACUAUUGUGAUUUGAUAGCAUAUUACACCCUUUUUAUGGUCACUUAAAACUGAUGUACACAAGGUGUGAAACAAUGAACAUUCAGUCCCGGGGUGUUCAUGCUGUGCCCAGUUGAGGGAUGUUUGUAAUUUGGCUGUAAGUAACAUGCAUAAAAUAGGGCAAAUUGCAUAUAUCCAUCUUCAAGACAAUAGUGCAGUCCACAGAGACUGCAGGUCCCACUUGGUUCCCUUGUAUGCUGUGACCUGUUGUGUCCCUGGAGUGAAUAUCCAUAUUAAAAAUUCGGGUGUUUGUGGAAGUGUGCAGGCUGUACUUUAGCCAACUCUCCUACACAUGAUUUUUGUGAGUGCCAUUUGGAAAUCCACAAGCACUCAUUAGAAAGCUUUGACUGAUGAGAGUAGGAGCUGUUCCCACAUCUCACGGCAAAAUUGGGUCCUUUGUUUUAGAUUUAAGAUCCUUCAGUAGCAGUUUAAACUUUUGAAAUUGCCAUGUAGCUUAUCUUAGACAAAGGAAAUCCAAGAUUGCAACUGUGAUAAAUGGCAUUCUCAUGGGGAAAACUGAAAAUUCCUGCCAUUUUCCCAUAGGAUGGCUACAAUUUACAGCUGAUGGAAGUUCAGUUACACAUCACUUAUGUUUAGUUACUCAUGCAUUUUAUUACUGUAACAUAUAUGAAUGGUGG